AGGUCAGUCCCGAACUGUCACCGUCAUGGUGAGCGUGCCUAGGACAUCUGGGAUAGGGACUGGCUUCGAC
rnacentral:sRNA from 12 species